UUUUUUACCACGCCCAGACUGUGACUACGUAGCGACACUUUGAAAGUUAAGUCAACAUUCUGCCUACAUUUAUGUCACAGAAAAUAGAAAAUCUUCAUUUCGUUUAAAUCGAAGGUACCUUAACACAGUAUGAAGCUGGUAGUUCUUUUCCUCGCCUGCCUCGUUGGAGUCUCCAAGGCUGUGGUUGAUAUCGAAGCAAGCGACCUAACUGUAUCAUGCGGCACAGAAGACAGUGUAUUGGGAUUUGGUCCAAUUAUCAUCAACGUAAUGUACACCCCCGAGAGCUGGGAUUCCACAACGGGCUCUAACGCCACCGUAUAUCCACAAGGAUACGAACAUGUAGUUGAUCUUGGUGUUGAUUGCAUAGAGACGAUAGAUGUCUCUGCGAGCCCAUGGAACUACACCUUAGAGAUAAAGCAAGCGCCGCUAGCAGUGGGAGAUGAAGGUGCAUGUGGGCAGGAGAGAUUGGAUGCACAGACCAUCCAAGUUGAGCUCGUGGUUCGAGAGGGAGACAUUGCAAACUCUGAUGAUAUGUACUUUAACAUCCAAUGCGUGUACAAGGCAACAGAUCUGGUCGGAUUGGGGAAAAUCAUCGAAGGUGGAGUUCCAAGUAACCCAGACGAUGUCGUCGCUACUGCAACACCCAACGCCCUUGACCGCAAAUACGAGCUCCAACUUAUGUACGGAGAUGGGGACUCGGAAAACACAGUGACAAGAGGCGAGGUUCUUAUCGGCACGGAGGUCUACCUCAGAGCACUCAUGUACGGCGAGGACCUCGGAACUGUUCCACCUGCCAUAGCUGGGGACGAAAACAGCAUCAGAAUCAUAUCCUGCACAGCCUGCAACGAUCUAAAUGCGAACUGUUUUAGUCUUUUCGCAGACUAUUGUCCAGUUUUGGGUAUUGGUGCCCAAUUCCAAAGUGACAGUGGAUUUGUCACCGUUGCAUCCGGAACAUUGAGCAGGAGCCCUGACUUUAAAAUGUUUACAAUUGGAGGCGGACAAAGUGCAAAAGUUAAAUUCACAUGCGAAAUUGAAGUAUGCAGAAUAGCCGACCAGUGUGAUGGGCAAAAUUGUGAAACAGCAAGCCGAAAAAAGAGAGCACUCGCAAAACGUCAAGCUACCGAUGCACUAGCCGGAACUACUUACGUCACAUUCGAAGUUGACGUAGUUGCGGAGGAAUCCGAUAAUGCUGGCAAUGCAGGGGCAAACUCUGGAACAAAUACAAACACAAUCAGUGGCGACAGCAACUUGAUGUACAUUAUACUUGGAAUUGUGGGAGGUUUAGUCCUCCUCUGUCUCAUUGCUGGGCUAAUAGUUUUCAUGCGCAUGCGCAACAACAAAGAUGACAACGAGAAGACGAUCAUUCAACACCAUCACAACUCGCAUUACGCAAAUGGCGGAUACAAGGCAUAAGGCGUUGUAUAUAUAUUACCUAAAUGCAAAAAUACUCAUUUAUAUUCACUAAAAACACUUUGAAUCCAACAGAUCAAGACUAAAUGACUAUUGCUUUAUGCGAAGGUCAGAUAAUCAGUUUGAAUAUAUUCAUUUGGAAUGACUAUAACAAAUCAAGAAAUACAAAACAAAUCGGUUAAAUGAAAAACUGGCUCAAAUGAUAACCCCACCUCUUAUCUAAAAUGGCCAGCCAAAUCAUUGUCAAACUCGUUAAUGCCAAAGCAUUUGGGAAUAUUUGAUGUAAACAAAUGCCACAUUGAAUAAUUAUCUAUUUACUUAUGUAUUUUACUGUUUUUGAAAAUAUUUACAUACAAACCUAUUUUGUUGAUCAAAUUGUGAGCAGACUCAAAUUUGACAAAGGUUGGGAUAUGAAAAUAAUAUGCAAAAUGUAUUAUCUGAUCCUUCGAAUUCUGUUACUUUAACGUAUUUCUUCAAACUCAUAUGACUCAGGUCAUUGGGGUAUUUAGAAAAGGAACUGUGAUAUCUUUAUCUGUUAUCUUUUAUCUUUAUACGAUGACCCAAACGAAUAACGAAAAGGGUUUCUUAGAUAUUGCAAUGCAUGAAGUUCAUGUGGUCCUCGUUAACUAUUUAUAUUGUUUGGGAGAGCAUGAGAGGGACAUAGGGUAUUGAUGCACUGCUAUAUAUAAAGAAAAUACUCCCCUUUAGUUUUGCAACAUUUUAGAGGGGAGUGUAUUGACCCAUGAAUGACACGGACUUAUGAAAAUGGACACUUAGUCGCUAGCUGCUAAUGUCGUUGCAAUAUCACUUUCGGCUCGACAUUUCUUCUGAAUAGUAUUACAGAGGUGAAAUAUUUAUAUAUUUUUUCAGAUAGAACAAAAAAAUAAGUGUGUAUGUAUGUUUGUGUAUGAAUGUUGUUGAAAAUGCAUUUCUGUCCAAAAUCCAUGACAAUCACUUUGUAGAAAUUGUUGUUCAAGACUCAAAUAUUGUACAGUUGAAUAUUGUGUUACUUAAUAAAAUUCUUUGCUUUGCCUAUAGAUAUGCACAUUUA
rnacentral:misc_RNA from 1 species